UCGAGUAUUGGGGUUCCUUCUGGGCCCCUACUCCCACACCAUGUGUACCUUUACCUUAACGUUGCCUCGGCGAGCCGCCUUCGCGGCGCCGGGCCCCUCGCGGGUCCGGAGAGCGCUCGCCGGAGGACCAACCAAAACUCUUUGUGUUAAUCGACGCAGUCUGAGUCUAAUUCUUUGAAUUAAAUUA
rnacentral:misc_RNA from 1 species